UACUCCUGUUUAUAUUGAAGUUCAAUACCCUCGAUUAUCCUCACCCAGAAAGUGAGUUUGAUUUGAACAGGAGAAGCUUAUCUAUGUGUCUAAUUCUAAUAAAACGACAGUUUAAUUCGAUUAUUAAAGAUGGAUUAAAUGAAAAGUAUUGUGAAAAUUGCAGGAGUUAUGGAGUUGUAAGGGGAAAUAACGAAGCUGCAACAGAAGAAGAAAGAGCCUACACCAUUAAAGUUGCAGAGAAAUUGGCUACUUAACUUGAUGAAGAGGGUUUUCCCACUCUAGUUAGACCCAUUCUUCCUUCCCAUGUUGCUGGUUGUUUUUGGCUGAAAAUAUGAGAACAAAGACAGCAGCAUACUGAAUAUGGAGUAUUAUACUGCUGACCAAGGGCAUCUCCGCCAGUCACCAUUUGAACUCCAGGUGUAGCAUGAAUAAGAGCUGCAUUGACAGGGCCACAUUUCCAAGA